GCGCAAAAAGUGGGUAUGCACUAUAUGCAGCGCAUAGGGGCGCAGCACCAAGGGGGCGCCAAAGUGAUGGUUAAAAAAAAAAAAAAAAAAAAAGCUGCUAUUGUGCUUUUCUUAAUCACUUCUGAAUUUCCUCAAUGUUUUAAAUAACAUUUUAGAACAAAACAUGUUAGAGUAGACGCCCUAUGUCAUAAGAUUCCACCGUAGAAUUUUGACACAAGAGGGAGCGGGGAGAAGCAUCCCGCUGCAGCCUGCGGGAAGGCGGGGCUUGAUGUCAGGUCCCGCCUUCCCGCAGGCUGCGCCGUGAGCGCUGAGCGUAGUAGUGAGUUCAGUUGUCUAUGGAAAAUGGAUAAAUCAAGAAAGCUGUCGGGGGCGAAAAAUAGAAAAAGGAAGAGGGAAAGGGAGAUGGCAUGUCAAGGGAUGCGACAGCAGUUAAACAAGUGGAUGGUGAAAGACAACAGGUGUGAGGAUGGUGGAUCAGGAAAGACAGAGGAAGGCAGUGGAGAAGAACACAGGCAAGGAGUGAAUGAGACAGACAUGAAGUCGGUGAUGGCAUCAAGUAUAGAUGAGACCAGUGAUGACAUCAGGUAGGAGUUCUAUUCUUUAGACCACACAAAACUAAAUGUCCAGUAUGGUUUAAAGUUCUGUUGACCAACCUAUUUACUGUGUCCUUUUUUGGGGGUAAAUAGUGCAGACAGAGAUAGAGAGCCACUCACAACUGAGAAGGAAUUGGAGGAGAAUGUGAAAACGAGAGGUGAAGAUGAGGUGGAAGAGUAUGUGGAACAGAGAGGUGAAAAGGAGGACUCAGAAGAUCCAUCUGACUGGCCACCACCACACCAAAUUGGGGACUCAUUUAGGCAGCGUAUGGUUGAGAAUGGCCCACAGAAAUGUCCUGAUGGGCCGUAUCCAAGAUCAGACAAGAGUAGAAGGUGUUUUUCCAAAGCAUACUGUUCUCGUUUAAUGUCCAAUGGAGAAAAAGUGCAGCGGGAUUGGUUACUGUACUCCAAAAGUACGGAUAAAGUGUAUUGUUUUGCAUGUAAGCUUUUUGGAGGAGCUAAAGUUGUUGACAUGCGCUUUGUUGUGGGGUACAAUAACUGGCAGUGUCUUUCAAAAACACUGCAG